rnacentral:rRNA from 1 species
AACGAACGCUGGCGGCAUGCCUAACACAUGCAAGUCGAACGAGACCUUCGGGUCUAGUGGCGCACGUGUGCGUAACGCGUGGGAACCUGCCCUUAGGUUCGGAAUACCUCCCCGAAAGGGGUGCUAAUACCGGAUAAUGUCUUCGGACCAAAGAUUUAUCGCCUUUGGAUGGGCCCGCGUUGGAUUAGCUAGUUGGUAGGGUAAAAGCCUACCAAGGCGACGAUCCAUAGCUGGUCUGAGAGGAGGAUCAGCCACACUGGGACUGAGACACGGCCCAGACUGCUACGGGAGGCAGCAGUGGGGAAUAAUGGACAAUGGGCGAAAGGCUGAUCCAGCGAGGCCGCGGGAGUGAUGAAGGGCUUAGGGUCGUAAAGCUCUUUUACCCGGGACGAUAAUGACAGUACCGGGAGAAUAAGCUCCGGCUAACUCCGU